UGAGCAAUCUGCCCUUCACAUCGGAAUAACCAUUGGAAACGAUGGCUAAUACCGAAUAUGACUUCGGAUCGCAUGAUCUGAAGUGGAAAGCUCCGGCGGUGAAGGAUGAGCUCGCGGCCUAUCAGCUUGUUGGUGAGGUAAUAGCUCACCAAGGCGAUGACGGGUAGCCGGCUGAGAGGGUGACCCGGCCACACGUGGGACUGAGACACCGGCA
rnacentral:rRNA from 1 species